rnacentral:rRNA from 1 species
CCUACGGGAGGCAGCAGUGAGGAAUAUUGGUCAAUGGGCGGGAGCCUGAACCAGCCAAGUAGCGUGAAGGAUGACUGCCCUGCGGGUUGUAAACUUCUUUUAUAAGGGAAUAAAGUGUGGCACGCGUGCCUGUUUGUGUGUACUUGAUGAAUAAGGAUCGGCUAACUCCGUGCCAGCAGCCGCGGUAAUACGGAGGAUCCGAGCGUUAUCCGGAUUUAUUGGGUUUAAAGGGAGCGUAGAUGGGUUGUUAAGUCAGUUGUGAAAGUUCGCGGCUCAACCGUGAAAUUGCAAUUGAUACUGGCAGUCUUGAGUACAGGUGAGGUAGGCGGAAUUCGUGGUGUAGCGGUGAAAUGCUUAGAUAUCACGAAGAACUCCGAUUGCGAAGGCAGCUUACUAAACUGCAACUGACAUUGAUGCUCGAAAGUGUGGGUAUCAAACAGGAUUAGAUACCCGGGUAGUC